UGGGGAAUAUUGGACAAUGGGCGAAAGCCUGAUCCAGCCAUGCCGCGUGUGUGAAGAAGGUCUUCGGAUUGUAAAGCACUUUAAGUUGGGAGGAAGGGCAGUAAGCGAAUACCUUGCUGUUUUGACGUUACCGACAGAAUAAGCACCGGCUAACUCUGUGCCAGCAGCCGCGGUAAUACAGAGGGUGCAAGCGUUAAUCGGAAUUACUGGGCGUAAAGCGCGCGUAGGUGGUUCGUUAAGUUGAAUGUGAAAGCCCCGGGCUCAACCUGGGAACAGCAUCCAAAACGGGCGAGCUAGAGUAGGGCAGAGGGUGGUGGAAUUUCCUGUGUAGCGGUGAAAUGCGUAGAUAUAGGAAGGAACACCAGUGGCGAAGGCGACCACCUGGGCUCAUACUGACACUGAGGUGCGAAAGCGUGGGGAGCAAACAGG
rnacentral:rRNA from 1 species